ACGUAGGGGGCAAGCGUUGUCCGGAUUUAUUGGGUGUAAAGGGUGCGUAGGCGGGAAUGCAAGUUUGAUGUGAAAGACCGGGGCUCAACUCCGGGGCUGCGUUGAAAACUGGUUUUCUUGAGUACGGAAGAGGCAACUGGAAUUCCCAGUGUAGCGGUGAAAUGCGUAGAUAUCGGGAGGAACACCGGUGGCGAAGGCGGGUCACUGGGAUGGUACUGACGCUGAGGCGCGAAAGCGUGGGGAGCAAACAG
rnacentral:rRNA from 1 species